rnacentral:rRNA from 1 species
UACGUAGGGUGCAAGCGUUGUCCGGAAUUAUUGGGCGUAAAGAGCUCGUAGGCGGUUUGUCGCGUCUGCUGUGAAAACUCGGGGCUUAACUCCGGGCCUGCAGUCGAUACGGGCAGGCUAGAGUUCGGUAGGGGAGACUGGAAUUCCUGGUGUAGCGGUGAAAUGCGCAGAUAUCAGGAGGAACACCGGUGGCGAAGGCGGGUCUCUGGGCCGAUACUGACGCUGAGGAGCGAAAGCGUGGGGAGCGAACAGG